rnacentral:lncRNA from 1 species
UUUUGAAGCAUGUUAAUGUCAGAACAAGCUGGGAUAGGGUAGAUAGGAACUCUGUGUACUAUCUCUGUAACUCUUGUAAAACUAAAUUUAUUUCAAGAUAAAAAGUUAAAAAACAAAAAUCCAGACUUGGCAGCAGUGCCCAUUUAGGGGGAGUCUAGUGGGAGGAGCAAAGAGGCUUGCCUGAUUUGGGGUUCAUGAAAUCUUGGCUUUCUAGCAGUGCAUAUAUAAUGCUAAUGUCUUCUGCGUGGAAUUUUCGAUUUUGUGAAAGGAUUUCAGAUCCUUAAACUCAUCUAACCUUCUCCAUCAAGAAGAAGGAUAGACAAGGAAGGUUCUUACUAUGUAGGGGACUGAAAUGAGCUUCUCCCAGAAUUUUAAGAUAAAAUGAGUAAUCUCACAUUUAAUGCUUGGGAUUCAGCAUCUGUAGGGACCAAGGUGUGGACUCCGAUGGAAACUGAUCUGGAAGAAGACUCUGACAUCAUUAAUUAACACACCACGGAAAGAAUCUGACAGAACUGGUAGCCAAGUCCAGAAAACGAAUACCAAAACACUAUGAAUUUGUCAGCAUGUUUGCAGGAGGAUUGAGGAGAAUGGAGGCCCUUAGCUGUUUGCAAGCCCAAAUGGGUCUACUGUGCAGUUUGGUCAGAGUGUCAUGAGGUCCCGGGUCUGGCUACCUCUCCCUAGAUGGGGUCAAAUCCUGCCUCAUUUGUUCCCUAAGGAGCCAGUGGUCAGGAAUCUUCUACUGCUUUUACCUCUGCCCCAGAGGCCACCUAGUCCAGAGCUGGUGACGUGGAUACCCGGGAAAAGCAUGCUCGUUCAAAAAGUGGGUAAGACAGAGCAAUGAAUAAAAGAGGGAACGAUGCAGGUAGAGGAGCGUGUCGAUGCCAAAAGAAAAAUUACCAGUUUCAUGAUUUGAAGAGAAAGAGAAGGAACCAACACAAUCUGUUUUUCUUUUCUUCCUCAUCGUCCUUAUCUACAUACUGGCAUAUUUAACAGUGCUAUAAUCAAAU